CCGCGGGAUUAGAGUUUGAUCCUGGCUCAGAACGAACGCUGGCGGCGUGGAUAAGACAUGCAAGUCGAGCGCUGAUUUGAAGGUAGCAAUAUUUUCAAGUCGGAGCGGCGCAAGGGUGCGUAACACGUGGGAAUCUGCCUUGAAGUGUGGGAUAACUCGUCGAAAGACGAGCUAAUACCGCAUGUGAUCGUGAGAUCAAAGUUGGGGAUCGCAAGACCUGACGCUUCAAGAUGAGCCCGCGGCCUAUCAGCUAGUUGGCGAGGUAAAAGCUCACCAAGGCUAAGACGGGUAGCUGGUCUGAGAGGACGACCAGCCACACUGGAACUGAGACACGGUCCAGACACCUACGGGUGGCAGCAGUCGAGAAUUUUUCUCAAUGGGCGAAAGCCUGAAGGAGCGACGCCGCGUGGGGGAUGAAUGGCUUCGGCCCGUAAACCCCUGUCAUUUGUGAACAAAUUAAUCCACCUAAAAUGUGGAUUAUUGAUAGUAACGGAAGAGGAAGGGACGGCUAACUCUGUGCCAGCAGCCGCGGUAAUACAGAGGUCCCAAGCGUUGUUCGGAUUCACUGGGCGUAAGGGGUGCGUAGGCGGUUGGGUAAGUCUGACGUGAAAUCUCCGGGCCUAACCCGGAAACUGCGUUGGAUACUAUCUGGCUAGAGGAAUGGAGGGGAGACUGGAAUACUUGGUGUAGCAGUGAAAUGCGUAGAUAUCAAGUGGAACACCAGUGGCGAAGGCGAGUCUCUGGACAUUUCCUGACGCUGAGGCACGAAAGCCAGGGGAGCAAACGGGAUUAGAUACCCCGGUAGUCCUGGCCCUAACGGUGCACGUUUGCUGUAAGC
rnacentral:rRNA from 1 species